GGGUAUUGAGCUUGAACAGCCAUUGAAGAAUGAUCAAACACAAGUAAGCUGUGUGUGUGUAUAUAUAUAGAAGUAAGGGAUUUUGAUUGGUAAAAGAGAGUGGGGAGGAAGGGAAGGCCUAAUUAAGGCAAACACAGAAACAGCAUGAAUGAGAAGAAGAUGCCCCAAACUAUGGAAAUACCAACAAGUAUUCAAAGACUUUAUUUGAUUCUUGAUAGAGAGAAAAGAAUGAAUCUUUCUUCUUUUAUGUUGGAGAAGAAGAAGCCAACCCUUAACCCAUUAAGAACACCAACAUGACCAUGUUUCCACCUAAGAAACUCAUCUUCUUCUUUUUUUAAUGUUUUAGUAGUAGCUUAACACCUAAUAAAUGGUUUUAUGGGAGAGAGAGAAGGAGAUGCGAUCAAAACGAAUGAGUCCAAAUGGUAGAGGGAGAGCCCCUCUUAUUGUGGUUCCUUGUUCUUUCGCGUGGGCUUUGUUUUUUUUUCUUUUCUUUCAACACGGCAAGAGGGACUCUC
rnacentral:misc_RNA from 1 species